rnacentral:rRNA from 2 species
GGAGGAAAAGAAACCAACCGGGAUUGCCUUAGUAACGGCGAGUGAAGCGGCAAAAGCUCAAAUUUGAAAUCUGGUACCUUCGGUGCCCGAGUUGUAAUUUGGAGAGGGCAACUUUGGGGCCGUUCCUUGUCUAUGUUCCUUGGAACAGGACGUCAUAGAGGGUGAGAAUCCCGUGUGGCGAGGAGUGCGGUUCUUUGUAAAGUGCCUUCGAAGAGUCGAGUUGUUUGGGAAUGCAGCUCUAAGUGGGUGGUAAAUUCCAUCUAAAGCUAAAUAUUGGCGAGAGACCGAUAGCGAACAAGUACAGUGAUGGAAAGAUGAAAAGAACUUUGAAAAGAGAGUGAAAAAGUACGUGAAAUUGUUGAAAGGGAAGGGCAUUUGAUCAGACAUGGUGUUUUGUGCCCUCUGCUCCUUGUGGGUAGGGGAAUCUCGCAUUUCACUGGGCCAGCAUCAGUUUUGGUGGCAGGAUAAAUCCAUAGGAAUGUAGCUUGCCUCGGUAAGUAUUAUAGCCUGUGGGAAUACUGCCAGCUGGGACUGAGGACUGCGACGUAAGUCAAGGAUGCUGGCAUAAUGGUUAUAUGCCGCCCGU